UUUCUGGGAGAUCUACAGGAGGGACUGGCUGGUAUGUCCUCCUUCUCUUUCUGGUCCCUUCAGAAUUUUUCCAGGACUAGGAAAAUACCAAGAACGUACACUUGUUCUGGAUAUACCAAAGCCUCAGUGAUUUCUACAAUGCUGGAGAAGGAUAUGGCAAGCCACUCCAAU